AAAGAUUAAAUAGUCAAUUGAAUAAAUGAGAGUUGUCAUGGGAAAUUUCGGUGGGAGUCCGGAGCUAGCCCGUAACUGUGAAGUGAGUUUUGCCAUCAAUGUCAUCACGAGAUGAUGGUAAGGCGAUGAACGAAGUCAGAGUGCCAUCAAUUCUUUAGUUAGUAAC
rnacentral:ncRNA from 2 species